rnacentral:rRNA from 1 species
GCUAAUACCGCAUAACGUCUUCGGACCAAAGAGGGGGACCUUCGGGCCUCUUGCCAUCAGAUGUGCCCAGAUGGGAUUAGCUAGUAGGCGGGGUAAUGGCCCACCUAGGCGACGAUCCCUAGCUGGUCUGAGAGGAUGACCAGCCACACUGGAACUGAGACACGGUCCAGACUCCUACGGGAGGCAGCAGUGGGGAAUAUUGCACAAUGGGCGCAAGCCUGAUGCAGCCAUGCCGCGUGUGUGAAGAAGGCCUUCGGGUUGUAAAGCACUUUCAGCGG